GAGCUAACCCAGCGAAUUGAAACAUCUUAGUAGCUGGAGGAAGAGAAAUCAAGAGAGAUUCCCUAAGUAGUGGUGAGCGAAAGGGGAAGAGCCUAAACCAAAGGGUUUACCUUUUGGGGUAGUGGGACAGCAAUAACGAAUCAUGGAGACUAGACGAAACAGCUAUCGAAAGUCAAAGGAUAGUAGCUGAAUCCCGAGUAGCAUGGGGCACGAGGAAUCCCAUGUGAAUCAGCGAGGACCAUCUCGUAAGGCUAAAUACUACUGUGUGACCGAUAGUGAACCAGUACCGCGAGGGAAAGGUGAAAAGAACCCCGGAAGGGGAGUGAAGUGGGAGUCCGAUUAACCGGAUGACCGCGUGCCUGUUGAAGAAUGAGCCGGCGACUUAUAGGCACUGGUAGGUUAAAGCGAGAAUGCUGGAGCCAAAGGGAAACCGAGUCUGAAAAGGGCGAUAAUCAGUGUUUAUAGACCCGAACCCUGGUGAUCUAACCAUGGCCAGGAUGAAGCUUGGGUAACACCAAGUGGAGGUCCGAACCGACCGAUGUUGAAAAAUCGGCGGAUGAGCUGUGGUUAGGGGUGAAAUGCCAAUCGAACCAGGAGCUAGCUGGUUCUCCCCGAAAUGUGUUUAGGCGCAGCGGUAAUGAUUAUAUCUGGGGGGUAAAGCACUGUUUCGGUGCGGGCUGGGAGACCGGUACCAAAUCGAGACAAACUCUGAAUACCCAGAGCACACAUUGCCAGUGAGACAGUGGGGGAUAAGCUUCAUUGUCAAGAGGGAAACAGCCCAGACCACCAGCUAAGGUCCCCAAAUCAUCGCUAAGUGAUAAAGGAGGUGAGAGUGCACAGACAACUAGGAGGUUUGCCUAGAAGCAGCCACCCUUGAAAGAGUGCGUAAUAGCUCACUAGUCAAGCGCUCUCGCGCCGAAAAUGAACGGGGCUAAGCGAUGUACCGAAGCUGUGGGAUUAAUUAAUUAAUCGGUAGGGGAGCGUUCCGUCGUAGGUAGAAGCAGUAGCGGCGAGCAGCUGUGGACGAAACGGAAGUGAGAAUGUCGGCUUGAGUAGCGCAAAUGUAUGUGAGAAUCAUACACCCCGAAACCCUAAGGGUUCCAGAGCCAGGUUCGUCCACUCUGGGUUAGUCGGGACCUAAGGCGAGGCCGAACGGCGUAGUCGAUGGACAACGUGUCAAUAAUCACGUACUAUCCGGUGGGAGCAUUGCUAGGGACGCAUGAAAGAUAGCCAUACCCUGAUUGGUUUGGGAGGGGUUUACGAACUCCGAGUGGGGAAGGAUAGUGCCAAGAAAAGCUAGGGAUGUGAUGAAAGCAGGAUACCCGUACCCGAAACCGACACAGGUAGGGAGGUUGAGAAUACCAAGGGGCGCGAGAUAACUCUCUCUAAGGAACUCGGCAAAGGUGCCCACUGUAUAAGUGGGUCGCAGUGAAGAGAUCCAGGCGACUGUUUACCAAAAACACAGGUCUCCGCAAACUCGUAAGAGGACGUAUGGGGGCUGACGCCUGCCCAGUGCCGGAAG
rnacentral:rRNA from 1 species